UCUCUCUCUCUCUCUCUCUCUCUCUGGUUGUGUGUGUGUGUGUGAGAGAGAGAGAGACAGAGAGAGA